GAGUUUGAUCCUGGCUCACGACGAACGCUGGCGGCGUGCCUAAUACAUGCAAGUCGAGCGAGCUGAAUUCAAGGAUCCCUUCGGGGUGAUUUGUUGGACGCUAGCGGCGGAUGGGUGAGUAACACGUGGGCAAUCUGCCCUAAAGACUGGGAUACCACUUGGAAACAGGUGCUAAUACCGGAUAACAACAUGAAUCGCAUGAUUCAAGUUUGAAAGGCGGCGCAAGCUGUCACUUUAGGAUGAGCCCGCGGCGCAUUAGCUAGUUGGUGGGGUAAAGGCCUACCAAGGCAAUGAUGCGUAGCCGAGUUGAGAGACUGAUCGGCCACAUUGGGACUGAGACACGGCCCAAACUCCUACGGGAGGCAGCAGUAGGGAAUCUUCCACAAUGGACGCAAGUCUGAUGGAGCAACGCCGCGUGAGUGAAGAAGGUUUUCGGAUCGUAAAGCUCUGUUGUUGGUGAAGAAGGAUAGAGGCAGUAACUGGUCUUUAUUUGACGGUAAUCAACCAGAAAGUCACGGCUAACUACGUGCCAGCAGCCGCGGUAAUACGUAGGUGGCAAGCGUUGUCCGGAUUUAUUGGGCGAAAAGCGAGCGCAGGCGGAAUGAUAAGUCUGAUGUGAAAGCCCACGGCUCAACCGUGGAACUGCAUCGGACACUGUCAUUCUUGAGUGUAGAAGAGGAGAGUGGAACUCCAUGUGUA
rnacentral:rRNA from 1 species